UACGAAGGGGGCUAGCGUUGUUCGGAAUUACUGGGCGUAAAGCGCACGUAGGCGGAUUUGUUAGUCAGGGGUGAAAUCCCGGGGCUCAACCUCGGAACUGCCUUUGAUACUGCAAGUCUCGAGUCCGGAAGCGGUGGGUGGAAUUCCUAGUGUAGAGGUGAGAUUCGUAGAUAUUAGGAAGAACACCAGUGGCGAAGGCGGCCCACUGGUCCGGUAUUGACGCUGAGGCGCGAAAGCUAGGGUAGCAAACGGG
rnacentral:rRNA from 1 species